AUUCGAAAUUCAAAUGGAAAUUUGGUAUCUUGUUGGCGCAGGAAGGUGUUGGUUGUAACAAGAUAGUUCUUAUCUUGUUUGAAUUCAAAAUUCAAACAAUAGAUGGUUCAUGCAGGUGAGAUAGGAUCGAAAUAAAUGGUGCUGAUAUUCCAUCAUCAUCUAACCAUUCUCCCACGUCCCACGAUCCAAAUCCCUUCACUUUUCAUUGAAAAUCCACGUCCGGAUCGAAUCCCCUGAAUUCAGCCCGUCCACGAGUUUCAGGAUUUUCAGAAGGAGUGGACCUUCCCGAUCUCGAGUCGACUCCAAGUCGCCUCGAGUCGACUCCUUCCCCUUCGAGUCGACUCCAAAGUCGACCCGAGUCGACCCCAUAGCUUCGCAUAUCAACCCUGGCUGAGACGACAGAGAACUCCUGAUACCCCCAACGAGUCGACCCUUUCAGAGCUCGAGUCGACCCCAACUUGCUUCGAAUCGACCCCAAGGAAACUCGAGUCGACCCCACCUGGAAAAAUAGAAGUCGUUCUUUGGAUUGUCUGAGAGAGUCGACCCCAACCUAUCUCCAGUCGACCCCUCUUUACUUCGAGUCGACCCCACCUGGAAAGAAUUCAUUCUUUGGAUUCUCUGAGAGAGAGUCGACCCCAGCCCAUCUCGAGUCAACCCCACUUUACUUCGAGUCGACCCCUGCGCCACUAAUCCAAUUAGGUCAAAACCAAAAUUAAAUCCAAUUCAAUUUGGCUCAUCCUUAGUCCGUUUACUCAAUCAAAUUGAGUUUAUUAGUAAUCUAAUUACCAAUUAAUCCUCCAAUAAUUACUUUAAUUAUUUUAUAGGAUAAUUUGCCAAUCGAAUUGACCAAAUUAUUCCUAAAUGAUUCUCAAUCAUCAAUCAGCUAUCUUGAUCAAUCAGAAAACUUCUAUGCGUGUGACCUCAUUGGUUCGAACCUAAGCCUCUAGUACAGGAACGACUUCUUGCACUAAUCGAUGUGACCAUCUAGCAAUGGUAUCCGACAUCUGGAUAGGCCGAAUAUAUGCGAAG
rnacentral:lncRNA from 1 species